AUCUGUUUUCCAAAGCUACAAUUUUGUAAUUUAAAAAAAUUUUACUGUCCUAGUCACAGAAGAUCACCUUCUUGUUUACUGAUAAAACUACCAUCAUUCAAUUGGUAUUAGAUUCUGACAUGCACAGGUAACAUUC